UGGGGAAUUUUGGACAAUGGGCGAAAGCCUGAUCCAGCAAUGCCGCGUGUGUGAAGAAGGCCUUCGGGUUGUAAAGCACUUUUGUCCGGAAAGAAAUGGCUCUGGUUAAUACCUGGGGUCGAUGACGGUACCGGAAGAAUAAGGACCGGCUAACUACGUGCCAGCAGCCGCGGUAAUACGUAGGGUCCAAGCGUUAAUCGGAAUUACUGGGCGUAAAGCGUGCGCAGGCGGUUGUGCAAGACCGAUGUGAAAUCCCCGAGCUUAACUUGGGAAUUGCAUUGGUGACUGCACGGCUAGAGUGUGUCAGAGGGGGGUAGAAUUCCACGUGUAGCAGUGAAAUGCGUAGAGAUGUGGAAGAAUACCGAUGGCGAAGGCAGCCACCUGGGAUAACACUGACGCUCAUGCACGAAAGCGUGGGGAGCAAACAGG
rnacentral:rRNA from 1 species